GUCGAGGGGUAUAGUUCUUCGGAGCUAGAGACCGGCGCACGGGUGCGUAACGCGUAUGCAAUCUACCUUUCACAGAGGGAUAGCCCAGAGAAAUUUGGAUUAAUACCUCAUAGUAUUAUAGAGUGGCAUCACUUUAUAAUUAAAGUCACAACGGUGAAAGAUGAGCAUGCGUCCCAUUAGCUAGUUGGUAAGGUAACGGCUUACCAAGGCUACGAUGGGUAGGGGUCCUGAGAGGGAGAUCCCCCACACUGGUACUGAGACACGGACCAGACUCCUACGGGAGGCAGCAGUGAGGAAUAUUGGACAAUGGGCGCAAGCCUGAUCCAGCCAUGCCGCGUGCAGGAUGACGGUCCUAUGGAUUGUAAACUGCUUUUGUACGAGAAGAAACACCUCUACGUGUAGAGAUUUGACGGUAUCGUAAGAAUAAGGAUCGGCUAACUCCGUGCCAGCAGCCGCGGUAAUACGGAGGAUCCAAGCGUUAUCCGGAAUCAUUGGGUUUAAAGGGUCCGUAGGCGGUUUAGUAAGUCAGUGGUGAAAGCCCAUCGCUCAACGGUGGAACGGCCAUUGAUACUGCUGAACUUGAAUUAUUAGGAAGUAACUAGAAUAUGUAGUGUAGCGGUGAAAUGCUUAGAGAUUACAUGGAAUACCAAUUGCGAAGGCAGGUUACUACUAAUGGAUUGACGCUGAUGG
rnacentral:rRNA from 1 species